rnacentral:misc_RNA from 1 species
GUGAAUCAUCAAAUCUUUGAACGCAAAUUGCACUCUCCUCGGAGAGUAUGCCUGUUUGAGGGUCAGCCUAUAAAAAAUCGACAUCGUUGCUGUUUCGCGGUGGCGUUCUUCGGAAAUUGGGUCAUCUUAAAUCUUUUGGUUUUAAGCGACUUAAAAUUUUCUUUUUGGUUCCAUGAACGUUUCUAAGAUUUAUUUCUUUACACGUUUAUGUUAUCGAUUUUUUUUAGACUUGACCUUGAUAUCGGAUCG